rnacentral:rRNA from 1 species
AGCGAACGCUGGCGGCAGGCCUAACACAUGCAAGUCGAACGGAUCCUUCGGGAUUAGUGGCGGACGGGUGAGUAACACGUGGGAACGUGCCCUUUGGUUCGGAACAACUCAGGGAAACUUGAGCUAAUACCGGAUGUGCCCUUCGGGGGAAAGAUUUAUCGCCAUUGGAGCGGCCCGCGUCGGAUUCGCUAGUUGGAGGGGUAAAGGCCCACCAAGGCGACGAUCCGUAGCUGGUCUGAGAGGAUGAUCAGCCACAUUGGGACUGGGACACGGCCCAAACGCCUACGGGAGGCAGCAGUGGGGAAUCUUGCGCAAUGAGCGAAAGCCUGACGCAGCCAUGCCGCGUGAAUGAUGAAGGUCUUAGGAUUGUAAAAUUCUUUCACCGGGGACGAUAAUGACGGUACCCGGAGAAGAAGCCCCGGCUAACUUCGUGCCAGCAGCCGCCGCAGUAA